UACGUAGGUGGCAAGCGUUGUUCGGAAUUACUGGGCGUAAAGCGCACGUAGGCGGAUUGUUAAGUCAGGGGUGAAAUCCCGGGGCUCAACCUCGGAACUGCCUUUGAUACUGGCAAUCUCGAGUCCGGAAGAGGUGAGUGGAAUUCCUAGUGUAGAGGUGAAAUUCGUAGAUAUUAGGAAGAACACCAGUGGCGAAGGCGGCUCACUGGUCCGGUACUGACGCUGAGGUGCGAAAGCGUGGGGAGCAAACAGG
rnacentral:rRNA from 1 species